rnacentral:rRNA from 1 species
GCAGGCCUAACACAUGCAAGUCGAGCGGUAGAGAGAAGCUUGCUUCUCUUGAGAGCGGCGGACGGGUGAGUAAUGCCUAGGAAUCUGCCUGGUAGUGGGGGAUAACGUUCGGAAACGGACGCUAAUACCGCAUACGUCCUACGGGGGAAAGCAGGGGACCUUCGGGCCUUGCGCUAUCAGAUGAGCCUAGGUCGGAUUAGCUAGUUGGUGAGGUAAUGGCUCACCAAGGCGACGAUCCGUAACUGGUCUGAGAGGAUGAUCAGUCACACUGGAACUGAGACACGGUCCAGACUCCUACGGGAGGCAGCAGUGGGGAAUAUUGGACAAUGGGCGAAAGCCUGAUCCAGCCAUGCCGCGUGUGUGAAGAAGGUCUUCGGAUUGUAAAGCACUUUAAGUUGGGAGGAAGGGUUGUAGAUUAAUACUCUGCAAUUUUGACGUUACCGACAGAAUAAGCACCGGCUAACUCUGUGCCAGCAGCCGCGGUAAUACAGAGGGUGCAAGCGUUAAUCGGAAUUACUGGGCGUAAAGCGCGCGUAGGUGGUUUGUUAAGUUGGAUGUGAAAUCCCCGGGCUCAACCUGGGAACUGCAUUCAAAACUGACUGACUAGAGUAUGGUAGAGGGUGGUGGAAUUUCCUGUGUAGCGGUGAAAUGCGUAGAUAUAGGAAGGAACACCAGUGGCGAAGG